rnacentral:sRNA from 1 species
CGUUGCUUUUGCAACACGCCAAUGCCCCGGCAAUCUGAGAGGGGCGCCUUCGGGUGAUUGCACUGCCAAAACCGUCAUGACCUGAGAGACGGAGCCUUCGGGCGGUAAACCCGUCAGCCUUUGAAAAUGGGGAUCGCGAUAAGCGCGAUAAAGGAUCUA